CAACCCAAAGCAUUCUAUGGUUCUAUGAUUCUCGCAUCCAAGCAGGAUGAAGACUCAGACAUAACGUACAGGGUAUCUGAGGGUUAAGUCAGCCUGUUGCAGGACGCUGGCGAUGACCCAGAAAGCGGCACAACUCCUGCCUGCAGCAAGUGCUUAGACUUCUCCCUCCAGGGCCGCUGUUUGCUGCAGUUCCUGAGAGCACCAAACCAUGCACAACUUGCGGGGAUGGGGAGUGAACCUGGAGUCUCAGGACGACCAAGUCCAGGGCAUUGUCUUGGCCAGAAGAGUCAUUUCAGAGAACUGAAAUAGUAACAGUGAAGAGCUACCACCAGGCAGUGACAGCAUUGUGUAAAACAAAUAGGUUUGGGUCUUACACAGUACACUAUAUUUAACAGCAUCUAAUUGCAUGAUAUAAUUACUACUGUACAUAAUUACCUAGUUAAAAAAAAAAAAA